CGCCCAUGAAUGGGCACAUCCUCAAUAAGUCCUUAAAACACUCAUAAGCGUCAAAUAGAGAUUCCCAUUCUUCCUGUCUAAAGUUUGAUAUCUCACUCCUAAUUUG